UCCGUAGGCGGGCAAUUAAGUCAGAGGUGAAAUCCCACAGCUCAACUGUGGAACUGCCUUUGAUACUGGUUGUCUUGAGUUACAGUGAAGUAGAUAGAAUAUGUAGUGUAGCGGUGAAAUGCAUAGAUAUUACAUAGAAUACCGAUUGCGAAGGCAGUCUACUAACUGUAUACUGACGCUAAUGGACGAAAGCGUGGGAAGCGAACAGGAUUAGAUACCCUGGUAGUC
rnacentral:rRNA from 1 species